GUGGGGAAUAUUGGACAAUGGGCGAAAGCCUGAUCCAGCCAUGCCGCGUGUGUGAAGAAGGUCUUCGGAUUGUAAAGCACUUUAAGUUGGGAGGAAGGGCAGUAAGUUAAUACCUUGCUGUUUUGACGUUACCGACAGAAUAAGCACCGGCUAACUUCGUGCCAGCAGCCGCGGUAAUACGAAGGGUGCAAGCGUUAAUCGGAAUUACUGGGCAUAAAGCGCGCGUAGGUGGUUUUGUAAGUUGGAGGUGAAAUCCCCGGGCUCAACCUGGGAACUGACUCCAAAACUGCAUGACUAGAGUACGGUAGAGGGUAGUGGAAUUUCCUGUGUAGCGGUGAAAUGCGUAGAUAUAGGAAGGAACACCAGUGGCGAAGGCGACUACCUGGACUGAUACUGACACUGAGGUGCGAAAGCGUGGGGAGCAAACAGGAUUAGAAACCCGGGUAGUCC
rnacentral:rRNA from 1 species